CGCUUGCGCAGCGGGGGAACAACAGCGGCCAUGCCCUCGCGCGGCGCGAGGGUGGCGCGCGCCAUGCCCGAGCGAUCGACACUCUCGCCAACGA
rnacentral:tRNA from 1 species